rnacentral:rRNA from 1 species
CAGGCCUAACACAUGCAAGUCGAACGAAGUAGCAAUACUUAGUGGCAGACGGGUGCGUAACAUGUGGGUAUCUACCCUUUGGCCUGGAAUAACACGAGGAAACUUGUGCUAAUACUGGAUAAGUCUUUACGGAGAAAGCUUUAUGCACCAUUGGAUGAGCCCGCACUUGAUUAGUUUGUUGGUGGGGUAAUGGCCUACCAAGACUGUGAUCAAUAGCUGAUUUGAGAGGAUGAUCAGCCACAUUGGGACUGAGACACGGCCCAAACUCCUACGGGAGGCAGCAGUGGGGAAUCUUGCACAAUGGAGGAAACUCUGAUGCAGCGAUGCCGCGUGAGUGAAGAAGGCCCUUGGGUUGUAAAGCUCUUUCGUCGGGGAAGAAAAUGACUGUACCCGAAUAAGAAGGUCCGGCUAACUUCGUGCCAGCAGCCGCGGUAAUACGAAGGGACCUAGCGUAGUUCGGAAUUACUGGGCUUAAAGAGUUCGUAGGUGGUUGAAAAAGUUGGUGGUGAAAUCCCAGAGCUUAACUCUGGAACUGCCAUCAAAACUCUUCAGCUAGAGUUUGAUAGAGGAAGGCAGAAUUUCUAGUGUAGAGGUGAAAUUCGUAGAUAUUAGAAAGAAUACCAAUUGCGAAGGCAGCUUUCUGGAUCAU